rnacentral:rRNA from 1 species
UACGUAGGGGGCAAGCGUUGUCCGGAAUCAUUGGGCGUAAAGCGCGUGUAGGCGGUUCGGUAAGUCUGCUGUGAAAGUCCAGGGCUCAACCCUGGGAUGCCGGUGGAUACUGUCGGACUAGAGUACGGAAGAGGCGAGUGGAAUUCCCGGUGUAGCGGUGAAAUGCGCAGAUAUCAGGAGGAACACCGGUGGCGAAGGCGGUUCUCUGGGCAUUACCUGACGCUGAGGAGCGAAAGUGUGGGGAGCGAACAGG